UGCACUGCAAACAAGAUGGGGAAGAAGG
rnacentral:piRNA from 1 species